UGAGGAAUAUUGGUCAAUGGACGCAAGUCUGAACCAGCCAAGUAGCGUGCAGGAUGACGGCCCUAUGGGUUGUAAACUGCUUUUAUAUGGGGAUAAAGUGGGGAACGUGUUCCCUUUUGCAGGUACCAUAUGAAUAAGGACCGGCUAAUUCCGUGCCAGCAGCCGCGGUAAUACGGAAGGUUCGGGCGUUAUCCGGAUUUAUUGGGUUUAAAGGGUGCGUAGGUGGCUGAUUAAGUCAGUGGUGAAAAGCUAUGGCUCAACCAUAGUCUUGCCGUUGAUACUGGUUAGCUUGAGUGUAGAUGAUGUAGGCGGAACGUGUAGUGUAGCGGUGAAAUGCAUAGAUAUUACGCAGAACUCCGAUUGCGAAGGCAGCUUACAAAACUACUACUGACACUGAGGCACGAAAGCGUGGGUAUCAAACAGG
rnacentral:rRNA from 1 species